UCCAAUUGAAGCAGAGGACAGUGGCGGACGGGUGAGUAACGCGUGAGGAACCUGCCUUUCAGAGGGGGACAACAGUUGGAAACGACUGCUAAUACCGCAUGACAUAUAGAUGUCGCAUGGCAUUUAUAUCAAAGAUUUAUCGCUGAAAGAUGGCCUCGCGUCUGAUUAGCUAGUUGGUGAGGUAACGGCCCACCAAGGCGACGAUCAGUAGCCGGACUGAGAGGAAGGUCCCCACAUUGGAACUGAGACACGGUCCAAACUCC
rnacentral:rRNA from 1 species